UGUGAGAGUAGAGGCGCGUAAACGAUCAGUACGGCUGCUGAGGAAUUGGGAUCUGUUUGAACCAGCCGGAAAGGGGUUUAUGCCGAAAUGGGCGGUUUUUCCCAAAGGCCGUACCAUUGGGGCUGUUUCUGAAUAAGGGCAGCACUGUCAUACGAACGUAUGGGGGGCUAUCUCAAAC
rnacentral:ncRNA from 2 species